GGCGGCAGGCUUAACACAUGCAAGUCGAACGAGGUUAGAAAGCUUGCUUUUGAUACCUAGUGGCGGACGGGUGAGUAAUGCUUAGGAAUCUGCCUAGUAGUGGGGGAUAACUUGGGGAAACUCAAGCUAAUACCGCAUACGACCUACGGGUGAAAGGGGGCGCAAGCUCUCGCUAUUAGAUGAGCCUAAGUCGGAUUAGCUAGUUGGUGGGGUAAAGGCCUACCAAGGCGACGAUCUGUAGCUGGUCUGAGAGGAUGAUCAGCCACACUGGGACUGAGACACGGCCCAGACUCCUACGGGAGGCAGCAGUGGGGAAUAUUGGACAAUGGGCGAAAGCCUGAUCCAGCCAUGCCGCGUGUGUGAAGAAGGCCUUUUGGUUGUAAAGCACUUUAAGUGGGGAGGAAAAGCUAAUGGUUAAUACCCAUUAGCCCUGACGUUACCCACAGAAUAAGCACCGGCUAACUCUGUGCCAGCAGCCGCGGUAAUACAGAGGGUGCAAGCGUUAAUCGGAAUUACUGGGCGUAAAGCGCGCGUAGGUGGUUACUUAAGUCAGAUGUGAAAGCCCCGGGCUUAACCUGGGAACUGCAUCUGAUACUGGGUGACUAGAGUAGGUGAGAGGGAAGUAGAAUUCCAGGUGUAGCGGUGAAAUGCGUAGAGAUCUGGAGGAAUACCGAUGGCGAAGCAGCUUCUGGCAUCAUACU
rnacentral:rRNA from 1 species